rnacentral:rRNA from 1 species
UACGUAGGGUGCAAGCGUUAUCCGGAUUCACUGGGUUUAAAGGGUGCGUAGGUGGGUCUGUAAGUCAGUGGUGAAAUCUCCGUGCUUAACAUGGAAACUGCCAUUGAUACUAUAGGUCUUGAAUUUUCUGGAGGUCAGCGGAAUAUGUCAUGUAGCGGUGAAAUGCUUAGAUAUGACAUAGAACACCAAUUGCGAAGGCAGCUGGCUACAGGGAUAUUGACACUGAGGCACGAAAGCGUGGGGAUCAAACAGG